rnacentral:lncRNA from 1 species
AACCACAAGACUGCAAAAAUCUCACGCCAGUAUGAUUUCGUGCUCGGAUCAUAUCCUUCUCGAUAUAGGGCAAAUGCAACAAACCGGAUAUUUCUGCCAAAGUAGGAGUCAUUUCACAUUCCCCAAACCUGAACACCAAACUACUUGGAUCCCAAAAGGUCAACAAAGCCUCUAUUAGAUCUGGACGAGGGGUAACAUGCAGAAGUUUCAUAAGAUCACCUAAUAUUUUAACCAGUUUCUACUGAUCAACAUAGUUAAACAUUUCCCACCAUUUGAUUAACUUUUUGGGCACCUUGACAACCAUCAGAACUCUAGACUUGGUGGACAAAUCCAUCCUGUAAUA